GACAGAGGGUGCAAACGUUGUUCGGAAUUACUGGGCGUAAAGCGCGCGCAGGCGGCCCUUUAAGUCUACCCGUGAAAUGCCGGAGCUCAACUCCGUGCACGCCGGGGGAUACUGGGGGGCUGGAGACAUGUAGAGGCAAGCGGAAUUCCGGGUGUAGCGGUGGAAUGCGUAGAGAUCCGGAAGAACACCUGAGGCGAAGGCGGCUUGCUGGGCAUGAUCUGACGCUGAGGCGCGAAAGCGUGGGGAGCAAACAGG
rnacentral:rRNA from 1 species